CAUCGUUCGUUCAACGAGGAAAAAGAGAAACAAGACAUGACAUUCAUCAUUGACAAAUCUGAUAUUCCAACCGGAACGAGACAUAUCAUAGAAGACUGAGACAGAAAAAAAAGAAAACAAGUCAAUCACAUCCAUCAAAAUGAAGAAAUAACAAGCAACUCAAAAGAAGCAUUUGGCGUAUCCUAGAUUACAUUGUUGGUGGAUUUCACCGAAAAUGUAUAUCAACAAUAGAAGAAAGAAGGACAAAAAAAUUAGAUUUCUUCUUACAAAAGGAUGAAUCAAAAAGACUGGUUGCCAUUUGGAUGUCUAAGGAUGAGUUCAAAAGAACUUCUUCUACACGAAAAAAAAUGGCGCGCGCUGUGGUUCAACGUGCAACGACAACGAUCUGACCGUGCCAUCGUGUAUCCCCCCACUCAAUGUCUCUGACUAAUGAGGCUAGUCCAGAAGAAAAUGGCGCCAGAACCACGUGCAGAAAAAAGAAACAGCACUUUUAGGUGGAUUGACGGAUAGACUGAAGAGGGGGGUGAGUAAGAAAAUUUGCUCAUCCCCAUAUAUACACCUUCUGUCAACCCUUUUCAAAGCGUUGUUUUUUCAACACGUGGAUCUUUACUGGACAGGGUAAUCUAUUCAGAGUUUUGUUUCUAGUCGUUUCUAGUCAUUGACUUUGACAUACGCUUUCUGUAAUUUCUGAAUAAUCUCAUUUUCUCGUUUCUUACUCUUCCCCCCGCGUUGUCUAUAUUUUCCAUGUUGAGUACGUGCAGACCGAACAAAAUCUGAAACUGACAGUGGAAAGUCAAAUCGAACGACAGAACUAAAAUUAAAAAGUUCUUUUUGUCUUUGAGAUAGCCUCAAAAGGAAAACGAGUUUCUCAUGUGGCACAGACACCCAAAAAUCCCUACGUGCCCUACACGUUAUUGUUUUCUACGUCCUUCUCGUUGAAAAGGAAAACAUUUCCAUUAAAACAAAGAACAAUCUCUUUGGACUUUGUCUAGGACGCCAUUCAACGUUUCUACGGUUCGAAGAACGCAGGAAAACGAUAAGCAUUUCAGUGAACCCAACCGUUUCGUGUCACAUUUCCUACUGGAUCGUGAAUAGAAAAUGGAUGCAUACAAACAUGUAUCAGGCAGACGACCAACGUUCUUCGAGAAGUGAGUGCAUUACGUCGAGUCGAAUAGUUUUCGUGAACGCAGAUAAACAAAAGCAAAAAGACAAUUCCAUCAGACGUUUGUGAUGCCGUGAAAUAUUCAGAUCAUUUUUGCCUCGCAAUUCCUUUGGAAACAAGAACUGGUUCACCUGGUGGCCGAUCAAAGGCACCUUCUUCCUUGAUCGCCAUGGAAUGUUGAAUUUAAUAACCAAAAAAAGGUAAAGUCAAAAUAACGAUGCGGCCAUCAAGGUUUUUUCCUUUUCUCGUUUCGAUUCCUCAACAGGUUUUUUUCUUUAACUAUCAGCCAAGUUUGCUGCUGUGCAGACCUAUAUGUUAGAUUACCUGGCAGCAUUUCGUAUAUAAGUGAACUGGCGUCAUCGUGAGUUGAAACUCUUUUCCCACGGCACUUUUUCCGUAUCGUAUUCUUGUAAUGGCUCGUUAUUGCCGUUUUGCUGAUUCUCUCUUUCAAAAAAAAAAAUUUUUACUCGGCCAAAAGAAAACCCCAUUCGUGCAAAAAAAAAGAAGAGGGAUGUCUCACGUAGUACAAAAAGUAUCUCAUUAAAAAAAACAAAAACCUUUUCCAUGUAUCGCACCGGUUAGUUGCUCGUUGGACGCCGCUCGUCAGUCCGUGUCUGCUUGUUAAUAUCCUACCGAUACUUUUCUUCUUUUAUCAUCUGCACUUUUGUAGUAAAAAAAACAAAAAAAAUCUUCGUGAUUCGGGACCCGCAGGUUUUUUUUAUUCUCCCUAUAACCAUAACCGUCGAAAACAACCGCAGCAAACAAAAGAGCAGAAAACUUUUUUUGUUUCUUUUUUAAAACCCAAACCGCGAAACGAAGAUACCUAUUUUAUGUCAGGUGUCAGUUUUUAAGUUUAUACGAGUCGGAUCAAUUUUUAUCGACUCAAUUUCUAAAAAAACCUGGGCUUUUCCAACCGCACAUAAACCACAUCGUUCUACUAACUGUUGAACGAUAUUUCUUAUUUUGUAUGUAUUACUAGUAGGUUAACUUAAUACGUUCACGCUAGAAUUAUUUCCUAAUGUCUACAAAGGGAAAUGUUUGCGUGAUGUAGCCCGAUGAGAAAGUCUGACGGUUAAUUAUAAACUAAGCGUGUCGCAAGAUCAUCAGUUUCAUCCGACGUGUACAACCGUCAUGUAUGGCAAUCUCGUGUACUCGAUGAGGCACGGGCCGGCACCGAUUCGAUCCAUCAAGUCUUGAAAUUUUUGGGUUUUAAAUGGCCGAAUUUGAUGCACGCUUUCACGGUUGUACACAACAUUCGAGAUAUUCAACCAAUGUGCGCGUUUACUUACGUAAUUGCGUGUGUGUGUGUGUGCAAGACCUUUUCCAUCAUCCAAACUCAUCCUUUUUUUUCAAAGAGGGAGUUGUUUGACUGAUUUCACACCCAUCUUAUUUAUCGUUGAAUUUCUUUGUUAUCGAUAUUGUUUUGAAUCAUAUUUAAAUAGUUUAUUUGCAGGGGCUUUGGAAUUUUCAGUUGUCCUGGGGACAUAGAAAAAGGACGUUAUGUCGUUAGUGAACUUGAUGUCGUAUGCGGCUUUUCGUGCAGCAGGUGGUGCGGUGAAUUAAAAAUGGUAGAUCCAAUUUGAAUCAACACAUUAAAACGUCGGGAACACGAAAAAAGGUCCACCAUAUUUCCCGAUGAACCACCUGAUGUGCAACAACAGGAGCAAAAAAACAGGACGAUCAUACGGAACAGUGGACUAUUACUUUUAUUUGAGACCCUCGGGUCAUUCUUUGCAUAUUGCUACGAUUUUUAAUAUUCUAAUGAAGGUAGCGGUAUUAUAUUUUAAAAAAAUGGAAACCCUAAUCAAGCGAGCAGUGACUUUCGAAGCAGAAGAUUAGAGAGAGAGAAAAAAAACAUGAUGUCUUGCUGCAUAUACACAUCAACAGAUUUACGGAAUUAUACAGAGAGGGGGGAAGAAACCAAUUCCAGUAGAGCACGCAACUGGAUGAAGAGCCGCUAGCCAUUUGCUUUCCAUCUUUUUUCAGAGAUGAUGGCCCGAAACAUAAGAAGAAGAAGAAAAAAAAUUACACAGCCACGUUUUUUUGUUGUGACCAUUGCCAGAGGAUAUAAACAGUCGAGAGAUAGAAAACACUGGAAAUCCAUAGACCUGUCGUCGGUCAGUUGUCGGAAUGAAAGGCAAAAAAACUGAACAAAAAGGAAGUUCGCCCAGAAACUUAUUUGAGUUUACAUGAAGAGGUGCAUAAUCUAGACUUGUAUAUCAUUAUUAUUAUGAGGGCUCUCUGGUCUUUGAAUAAUUUUUCAGCCGAAAAAGUACAUAAAUCACGCAGACGCACACGCGAGCCGUAGAGCACAAGCAGCCGAGAACAACCAAAAAAGAAGGGGGUAACAGUUUUAAAACUUUGUUUUGAUUCAAAUCAUCAAACACAAAAGAAAGAAACAACUUUGAAUUUUUGUGAUUCGCUUUUGUUUUUUAACGAUGAUGAACGAAGAAGAAAGUUCAUCUAAUCCCAAAAACAAAACAAAACAAAAAAAAACCCUUUAUACAUAUACACAACUCUUCUUAAUUUUCUUCUAAAAAUGCAGGGCGUAAUUAUGAAGUGCAUAACUGCGCGUGAGAUAAAAAGGUCGGAGGCCCUCCCGCUAGUCAACGGGGGGAAACGAUUGGGGGGACUGUAUGAGAGUUACGGGAGUUUGGAGAAAAAGUGCGCGUAAUCGCGUCCAUUAAAUAAAGGGGACGUUGGAGAAGGAGAAAAGUCGUAACACAAAACGAGGCUAACGAGCUUGAUUAAACUAUCCCGAACGAGAACAACAAAAGGCACUAUACUUGCUCUCUGCUGUAUAUAUUAUACGAAAACACAAAAGCUUAAAUGCAUCUGGA
rnacentral:lncRNA from 1 species